rnacentral:rRNA from 1 species
GCCCAAGAGAUCGGGAUAACACCUGGAAACAGAUGCUAAUACCGGAUAACAACAGAUGAUGCCUAUCAACUGUUUAAAAGAUGGUUCUGCUAUCACUCUUGGAUGGACCUGCGGUGCAUUAGCUAGUUGGUAAGGUAACGGCUUACCAAGGCGAUGAUGCAUAGCCGAGUUGAGAGACUGAUCGGCCGCAUUGGGACUGAGACACGGCCCAAACUCCGUACGGGAGGCAGCAGUG